rnacentral:rRNA from 1 species
UGGGGAAUAUUGGACAAUGGGCGAAAGCCUGAUCCAGCCAUGCCGCGUGUGUGAAGAAGGUCUUCGGAUUGUAAAGCACUUUAAGUUGGGAGGAAGGGCAGUAAGCGAAUACCUUGCUGUUUUGACGUUACCGACAGAAUAAGCACCGGCUAACUCUGUGCCAGCAGCCGCGGUAAUACAGAGGGUGCAAGCGUUAAUCGGAAUUACUGGGCGUAAAGCGCGCGUAGGUGGUUCGUUAAGUUGAAUGUGAAAGCCCCGGGCUCAACCUGGGAACUGCAUCCAAAACUGGCGAGCUGGAGUAGGGCAGAGGGUGGUGGAAUUUCCUGUGUAGCGGUGAAAUGCGUAGAUAUAGGAAGGAAAACCAGUGGCGAAGGCGACCACCUGGGCUCAUACUGACACUGAGGUGCGAAAGCGUGGGGAGCAAACAGG